rnacentral:rRNA from 1 species
GAGUUUGAUCGUGGCUCAGGACGAACGCUGGCGGCGUGCUUAACACAUGCAAGUCGAACGGGGUGCCUAUGAAAGGGAUUUCGGUCAAUGGAUUAGGUUACUUAGUGGCGGACGGGUGAGUAACGCGUGAGGAACCUGCCUUUCAGAGGGGGACAACAGCUGGAAACGGCUGCUAAUACCGCAUGACACAUAUUUAUCGCAUGGUAGAUAUGUCAAAGAUUUAUCGCUGAGAGAUGGCCUCGCGUCUGAUUAGCUAGUUGGUAGGGUAACGGCCUACCAAGGCGACGAUCAGUAGCCGGACUGAGAGGUUGGCCGGCCGACAUUGGGACUGAGAUACGGCCCAGACUCCUACGGGAGGCGAGCAGUGGGGAAUAUUGGGCAAUGGGCGCAAGCCUGACCCAGCAACGCCGCGUGAAGGAGAAGGCUUUC